CCUGAACCUUUCAGUUCAGGUUAGCAUGGUUAGCAGACUUAAAUCACGUAGGGGGUUCACCAUUUUGUCAGUUUUCUGGUGGUUGAGUACUGACCUAAUUUUAACUCUUAACUUUAGGUACUUUUACUGGAAAAUUAAAGAUGAAAUGUAAGUAGAGUUAAAGGAUUGUAGAUAAUGGGCAAACAUGGCUUGGUAUGGUUUUUUGCAUAGCAAGUACUCUUGCUAUGUGUUUUGGCCUGCAUGAUGACAAGCAAAUGCUGACUAACAUGAAGCUCUUAAUUAGCUCUAUCUGAUCCGGGCUUGGUUAGGUUUUGGUGGGACAAAUUAUCUUUUUUGACUGGGCUGAAAUUCUGAAUUUUUUUUAGGUGUUCAAGUUGUCUGGACAGCUUUUCAUUUGACAACUGGUUGCAUGUUUGCAUUUGGAUGGCUUGCUUUGGUAGGAGUACUCUACUUACAUACCAGAAGAGGGCAUCGGAUCCCAUGAUGGAGCUACCACAUGGUUACUUGAGAACCCUGGACCACUGGAAGAGCAAUUGACAUUCUAAAUGAAGGCUAUCAGCAUGGUUCCGGUUGAAUGAAGGCACAGACAAGGUUUUCUACAAUGAUCAGAUCCUUCAUUUUGAAUCUCAAGAGCUCCUGUGGCAGAAAUGGACUUGCAAUUCAGUCAUUUUCACCUUACUAUUUAAAAGGUGAGAAUUGGAGAUAGUAACUAGGAGGGCAGCUGGGGAUAAAAAUACUAACCUUAAACCUAUUCCAGAAUAUGUGAUGAUUCACCACAACUUGAACUC